AACGAACGCUGGCGGCGUGCCUAAGACAUGCAAGUCGAGCGAGAAAGGGGCUUCGGCCCUGAGUACAGCGGCGCACGGGUGAGUAACGCGUGGGUAAUCUGCCCUCGGGUUCGGGAUAACCUCGGGAAACUGGGGCUAAUACCGGGUAAGCCCACGGGGUCUUCGGAUCCUGCGGGAAAAGAUGGCCUCUCCUUGGAAGCUAUCGCCAGAGGAUGAGCCCGCGUCCCAUUAGCUUGUUGGUGGGUAACGGCCUACCAAGGCAACGAUGGGUAGCUGGUCUGAGAGGAUGAUCAGCCACACUGGAACUGAGACACGGUCCAGACCCCUACGGGAGGCAGCAGUCGGGAAUUUUGGGCAAUGGGCGAAAGCCUGACCCAGCAACGCCGCGUGAGGGAUGAAGGCCUUCGGGUCGUAAACCUCUGUCAGGAGGGAAGAACGACCUCCGGGCGAACAGUCCGGGGGAGUGACGGUACCUCCAAAGGAAGCGCCGGCUAACUCCGUG
rnacentral:rRNA from 1 species